GCCCUUGUAGCUCAGUAGGCAGAGCACCUGUUUCGUAAACAGGGUGUCGCCGGUUCGAUUCCGGCCGAGGGCU
rnacentral:tRNA from 1 species